rnacentral:rRNA from 1 species
GGUAACGCUGGCGGCAUGCUUAACCAUGCGAUUACGAACGGGUUUAAGUUUAUUCCCACUGUAAGAUUAAGUAGCGGACGGGUGAGUAACGCUGUAAGAACCAUACCUUUAGGUAAGGAAUAACUAUUGGAAACGAUAGAUAAUACCUUAUAAGCUUAUAGUAGAAGAUAAAAUCGCCUAAGGAUGGGCUUGCGUCUGAUUAGACUUGUUGGUGAUAUUAAAAGAUUCACCAAGGCCAACGAUCAGUAGUCUGGUCUAAGAGGAUGAUCAACCACACUGGGACUGAGACACGGCCCAGACCUCUAACGGAGGGCAGCAGUGAGGAAUUUUCCGCAAUGGGCGAAAGCCUGACGGAAGCAAUUGGCGCGUCGGAGGAUGAAAGCUCUGUGAGUCGUAAACUCCUUUUCUUAGUGAAGAAAUCACAGACGGGAUCUAAGGAAUAAAGCAUCGGCUAACUCCGUGCCACCAGACCGCGGUAAUACCGGA